rnacentral:lncRNA from 1 species
GGAUCCACAAUUAAUCCUACGGAUCCUUAGGAUUGGUGUCUUCCUAUACUUAAUAAUUUAUCCUUAUACUUGUAAUGUAAUUCAUUAAUGUAAUUAGUAUUUUUUCUAUUAUAGUAUAGCCUGAUCCUGCAUUUUUGGAUCAUGGCUCGCGUCAAGCAGCCUCUUCUACCCAUCCUGUAUAUUGUCCUUUUCAUUCUGUAUUGGAAUAGAAACUGAUUAGAAAAUUAGUAGGCGAGAUUUUACAAAAAAGGCUUCAUACGAGAAACAGCUUUUUUCCAACACCCCUAGUUAAUAACCCCUAUUGAUUGGAUUUAUAUGCUUAUUCUGAUCGGAAUAUUCAAAUGAUUUUUAUCGAACGACUAUUCAUCUAUUGUAUUCUCAUGUAAAUGACUAUUCAUCUAUUGUAUUUUCAUGUAAAUUAGGGGCAAGAAAGUUCUAUGGAAAAACAGUGGUUUGGUUCGCUCUUGUUUAGCGGGGAU